rnacentral:lncRNA from 1 species
CCCAGGGCAGUUUGCUGUGCUGAGUCAGCCCCAGGCUGGUUUUAUUGGUGGCAGGUGGGUAUGGCUCCUGCUGCUUUUGUCUCCUCCUCCCUUGCUUUGUUGGAUGCAGUCUCGUUUUAGGUACUGAAGACUGUGUGUUCCCCAGAAAGCAUGCAACACCUGCAGCCAGCAGACAUCAGCAGCUCAGUGUGAGAAGGCACAUCUUUGGCUGGAAGAAGCAAUACUCUGGGCUUGGCCUCAGCCCAUGGGGAGGCCCUGAUGCUGAGGAGCACCAUGAGAGAUGAGCAGGAAGGGGUUUAAGAGGAGCAGCUCUGAUCUGACAAACACUUCCUGGGAGCUCUCAGCUGGUGCUGAGCAGGAGAAAAGGUUCUCUCCGUUCUUCCAGAGAGGGGAACUGGAGUGCCAUCCCCUAGCCCUGUGGGAAGAGGGCAUGGUGGAGAUAUUGUCACUCAGGGAUAUGUCCUCCAGGAUGGCUUUUGGUGACAUUGGCAGGAAGAGUUCCUGGAUAUUGCCUCUGACCAAAGGUUUGGUGCUUUGUCCAUCUGUUUCUUGCCUGCAAACACAAGGCAUAAGAGACAUAUGGUAGAAUAGUCCACGCUGACUGUUAGUCUAGUCCAGCAUUAUUUUCAUUUGAAACAGAUAAAUACGUACCAAGGCCCUGCACCCUGCAGGAAAAGGUACCCUGCCAGUAUUUAUACUGUCUACAGCAACUUCCAAAAGAAGCUCUUAGCAUGCAGCACAGCAUGCCUAGAAGUGUCAGGCACAUAGAUCAGGUAUAUGUGGGACUGCCCAACCUCCAGGCUACCCAUUAAUUUUUAUGUGUGUUUUGCCUGGAAGUCCCCAUCCACAAAGGGAAAGAAAUAAGACAUGUCUGGGUUCUGGUGCACUAAACCUACAGAGACCUCCAUAGCAAAUCUGCACUUGGUGCCCACCCAGCUCAGGUACUGCUGCUGGCUUGCAUCCCCAGUAAAUAGCCUUGCCCACAGGCCUUGCAGACACCCACAGUGAUGUGCAAGUUAAUGUGGUUUCACGUUGCUUCUGGGAGCAGUUGGUUUGGGAGCAGAAGAAUAUUUUAAUGACGGUCUACAAAUUGAAUUUUAAUUGUGAACAAAUGGUGAGCUUUGUCUCUGCAUCAGUAGUCUCACAAACAG